ensembl:lncRNA
AAGCCACUCUGACAUUCUACUAGAAGCAAACGAGAACCAACCGAUCGGGCCGACCUUCACCCGUCUCUCCCCCGAGUCCAUUCCAGACUCUUUGCACGUCAGCCUGUCGCCGCCCUUCACCUCAGCUUCUGGUUCCACCAGAACUUCUACCACAUUCUCUCCUCGCCUGCCAUUUCUCCAACCUCCAACUCCGGUCGCUCCUUGAGAACCGGCGCCGCGACCACAGCCUCUCGUGAUGGAAACCCAGGAUACCUCGUCCGAAUCCUGAGCCGCUCGGGUCCCAAAGACCUUCAAGCUGCUCGUCACACCUCACAUAGUGGAGAUUUGUGGGGGUCGUUGUGCUCCAACGUAGCUUCUCACAAGCCAGCAGACCGAUAAAGUCCUCCACGCCACAUGUGACGCCCACCAAUGUGUUUACACAGUCCCAGAUCGUCUCUGAGCUGCUCUGGUUCUUCUGUGUGAGGAGCAGCUUUAGCACCUGACCGGAUGCUGGU